UUCAACUUUCAAUCUUCAACUCAGUUGGAUAUCCUGGUCCUCUAACUGUUGAAACAAUAUAACUUCCACUGGAUGUUUUUGAGUUCCACAUCCUGAUUUCCUUCUAUAUUUUCAUUUAAAUUUAACCAAUUUUUCAAAGUGAAGUCAUAAGCUAUAGACUCUACUGAAUUCUUGAAUAUUUUCCUGGCUUUUGGACCCUUGGAGCCCACGGAGUGACUGAUUUUCUUCUAUUUCUUAAAAAGACCUCCUUUUAAAUGACAUUUUGAAGACCACUCGCUAUGCAUGGCGGCUCUGUUGUGAUGUGACUUUUUCCUUUUCCUUCUGCGCUCCUUUCUUUGGGUACUCUUUUGAAUACUUUACCUUAUAUUUAUUUUUUCCUGACUUGUCAUCUCACUAUCCUCUGUC
rnacentral:sRNA from 1 species